rnacentral:rRNA from 1 species
UACGAAGGGGGCUAGCGUUAUCCGGAUUCACUGGGUUUAAAGGGUGCGUAGGCGGAUUUGUAAGUCCGUGGUGAAAUCUCCGAGCUUAACUCGGAAACUGCCAUGGAUACUAUAAGUCUUGAAUGUUGUGGAGGUUUGCGGAAUAUGUCAUGUAGCGGUGAAAUGCUUAGAUAUGACAUAGAACACCGAUUGCGAAGGCAGCAGGCUACACAAAUAUUGACGCUGAGGCACGAAAGCGUGGGGAUCAAACAGG